rnacentral:rRNA from 1 species
UGUGGGUAGCGGUGAAAUUCCAAUCGAGCCCGGAGAUAGCUGGUUCUCCCCGAAAUAGCUUUAGGGCUAGCCUCAAGGUGAGAGAUACGGAGGUAGAGCACUGAAUGUCCUAGGGGGUAUUGCACCUACCGAAGACUAUCAAACUCCGAAUGCCGUCAUCUUAUACUUGGGAGUCAGACUGUGGGUGAUAAGAUUCAUAGUCGAAAGGGCAACAGCCCAGAUCGUCAGCUAAGGUCCCUAAAUGUAAGUUCAGUGGUAAAGGAUGUGGGAUUGCACAGACAACCAGGAUGUUGGCUUAGAAGCAGCCACUCAUUCAAAGAGUGCGUAAUAGCUCACUGGUCGAGUGAUCCUGCGCCGAAGAUUUCCGGGGCUAAAACUUACUACCGAAGCUACGGCAUCAGUAAUGAUGGGUAGGGGAGCUUCCCAUACGGGUUGAAGCAUGACCGUAAGGACAUGUGGACAGUAUGGGAGUGAGAAUGUUGGCAUGAGUAGCGAGAUGUGGGUGAGAAUCCCACAGGCCGUAAACCCAAGGUUUCCAGGGGAAGGUUCGUCCGCCCUGGGGUAGUCGGGACCUAAGCUGAGGCCGAAAGGCGUAGGUGAUGGACAACAGGUUGAUAUUCCUGUACUACCGAUAACCGUUUGAGAGAAGGGAUGACACAGUAGGAUAAGCUAAGCACACUGUUGGUUAUGUGUGCCCAAGCAUUGAGGCAGUCAAAGUAGGCAAAUCCGCUUUGAUAAUGCUGGGAUGUGAUGGGGAGCGAAAUUUAGUAGCGAAGUAGCUGAUUUCACACUGUCAAGAAAAGUCUCUAUCGAGGUUAAAGGUACCCGUACCGCAAACCGACACAGGUGGGUGAGGAGAGUAUCCUAAGGCCAGCGAGAGAACUGUUGUUAAGGAACUCGGCAAAAUGACCCCGUAACUUAGGGAUAAGGGGUGCCACCAUCAGGUGGCCGCAGAGAAUAGGCCCAAGCGACUGUUUACCAAAAACAUAGGUUUCUGCUAAGUCGCAAGACGAUGUAUAGGAGCUGACGCCUGCCCGGUGCUGGAAGGUUAAGGGGAUCUGUUAGAGCAAUCGAAGCAGUGAACUUAAGCCCCAGUAAACGGCGGCCGUAACUAUAACGGUCCUAAGGUAGCGAAAUUCCUUGUCGGGUAAGUUCCGACCCGCACGAAAGGCGUAACGAUUUGGGCACUGUC